UCAGCAGUUCCAAAAUAUUAGUCAAUGCUCGCAAGAGUGAACUAGCUAACUGAAAUCACAGGAUCCAUUACGUGUGGUGAAUGUAAUAACGUAAGGGAAAAAAAUGAUAUUACCUUACUAUUAGUGUAGUCCAAAACUGGUGCCAGAAGACUCGGUAAGGCCAGAUACGCAAACGUUAGUCGUCCUAAUCAGGCGUAAAGGGUAUGUAGGCUGCUUUAAAAGUUUUAUAAUAUAUAGCUAUGUAAAAAAGGAACAAAAUUAUUUGGUUUGAUUUUACAGAAAAUAUAAAAUGAAUUAAAGCUAGGAUCAAAUUGAGGAUAAGUCAAAUAAUACCUAGUGUAGGGUUUAAAUCUGUUGAUGUUAGGUGGAGUACUAACGGUGAAAGCUUUUUAUCUAGAAAUGAUUGACGCUGAGAAACGAAGGUGAGAAUAGGAAAUAGGAUUAGAUACCCAGAUACCUCUCACAGUCAACGAUGAAUGGUGGUUGUUACUUAGUUUUAUUUAAGUGAUAACGAUGUUAACACGAUAACCAUUCCGCCUUGCGAGUACGGUUGCAAAACUGAAACCAAAAAAAUUAGUCGGUCUCGAAGCAAACGAAGUGAAGCAUGUUAUUUAAUUCAAAUAAAAUCCGCAA
rnacentral:rRNA from 1 species